UCUAGAUCAUCCGGCAUUGGCAAGAGCUUAUAUCCAGGUUUUUCCUGACAGGGUUGGCCGGCGCGGCCUGCAUCCCUUUUCUGUAUAUCUUGUCCAGGCAGAUUCCUGCGAGCUCGAUUGAUCUUGUACUGCGCAAGAUGUCUUAUCUAGCGGGAGCUCUCCUCUGUCGCCUGGUUGCGACCGCCAGCUUCUUUAGCAAGGUUUCUGGCUUCCCAAGAGGCUCCAAGAAAAUGCUAUCCUCGCGAAGCGGCAUAUUUGUGCUGUUGGAGGAGAGAAACAGUGACGGACGUGGAGUUGGCUGCGCCAUUUCUCAAACCGGCAGUUGCUUAAACAGCACUAUCCGCAAGACAUCUCCAGGGGCUAGAUCCGAUCUGCUGAACCAAGAAAUGAUCUGUCCGCGCAUCUGCCCGAAAUGCUGCAAGCCGAUGAGACGGCGGGAGGCUGAUCGCGCCAUGACAGGCGGUGUGGAACUCAGCAGCAAUGCAGCGGCAGAGAAGACGGAUUUCGAGUCCAUAAAAGACGCUUCUUGGCAAAUUGUGGACUUUGAACAACCGUCCGAAAAAGAGAAAGGAAUAAUACUUGAAUCCCAGUGCAUGCCAGACGCAACGGAGUGGGUAGUGUUCAUCUAACUUGGCGGUGGGAGAGUUCUUUACACUUUGCCAGGAUAAAGCCUGUGAUUCAAGAGUCAGUGCGUUGUCUUGCGUAUACCGCGUGAAACAAACAUUAGGUAUGGCAAUUGGUGAAAGUGGCCGUGCUACCUGUUACCGUAUAAACUGUAGACUACCUAGCUGACCAACCGUUCACAGUAAUACGUAGCAACUUCGUUGAGGAGCUACAAGGCUGAGAAUGCAGGUGAAAGCAGAACUGAAUGUGUGCUUGCCAGUUGCCUGCGCGUCUUAUAAACAACUGCUGCAGUGAUAUUCCAUGUUGAGAUUGCAAAUGUGUGCAAAGGCGAAAGAAAUGUAGAACUUUAUCCGUUGAAAAGCCUAAGUUGUACUGGUGACGCCUUACUUGCUGCCUUUAGGGCGGGCUCGUGGCAGCGGGUGACUCUAACGCUGACAGCGCCCCCCUGUGCAAGAAACCAUCUGCGGCAAUGCAGUCUUGCAGUUCCUACAAUAUGAGAAAGCAAUAUUUUGCUGUAAAGUACACAGAAGACCUCAGAGGUAUGUAGUGAAAAACUGCAGUUCAGUUUGACUGCUCCGUGUCAACCUGCACUCCCGCGGAACCAUGGUCUGCUGAGCUGUUUUGAAGGUGAUGUUGAAGAUCGGUAAACAGAAUAUGUUUUGAUGCGGACAGAUCACGCGUCCGAAGAAGUCCCUAUCUGUUUUGAUGGCCCUUUCGAUCUCUGCCGCAUUCAGCCACAUGAGACUUUUUGACGACUUCACUCGCGUGUCAGAACUCAAUGAGAAAUAACAGAAAGGGUGCUUGUAUCGACAAGUUUGCCGUUUCUCCCGGAAAGGAAAGCAGCGGCUGCUCACGCGGAGCAGAAACAGCAGCUUCACAAGGUGUUUCAAGACACUACUGCCGUAGUCAAAACAAUUUCGGCGCCGAAGUGUGACAGUUUGUUUCCCCGUUGACAUCCCCAGUACCUGAAACGCGUCCUCCGGAUUUUGCCUCGAG
rnacentral:lncRNA from 1 species